AUUGAACGCUGGCGGCAGGCCUAACACAUGCAAGUCGAGCGGUUGAAGGGAGCUUGCUCCUGGAUUCAGCGGCGGACGGGUGAGUAAUGCCUAGGAAUCUGCCUGGUAGUGGGGGAUAACGUCCGGAAACGGGCGCUAAUACCGCAUACGUCCCGAGGGAGAAAGUGGGGGAUCUUCGGACCUCACGCUAUCAGAUGAGCCUAGGUCGGAUUAGCUAGUUGGUGGGGUAAAGGCCUACCAAGGCGACGAUCCGUAACUGGUCUGAGAGGAUGAUCAGUCACACUGGAACUGAGACACGGUCCAGACUCCUACGGGAGGCAGCAGUGGGGAAUAUUGGACAAUGGGCGAAAGCCUGAUCCAGCCAUGCCGCGUGUGUGAAGAAGGUCUUCGGAUUGUAAAGCACUUUAAGUUGGGAGGAAGGGCAGUAAGUUAAUACCUUGCUGUUUUGACGUUACCAACAGAAUAAGCACCGGCUAACUUCGUG
rnacentral:rRNA from 1 species